rnacentral:rRNA from 1 species
CCACGGGAGGCAGCAGUGGGGAAUAUUGGACAAUGGGCGGAAGCCUGAUCCAGCAACGCCGCGUGAGGGAUGACGGCCUUCGGGUUGUAAACCUCUUUCAGUACCGACGAAGCGCAAGUGACGGUAGGUACAGAAGAAGCACCGGCCAACUACGUGCCAGCAGCCGCGGUAAUACGUAGGGUGCGAGCGUUGUCCGGAAUUAUUGGGCGUAAAGGGCUCGUAGGCGGUUUGUCGCGUCGGGAGUGAAAACGCCGUGCUUAACACGGCGCUUGCUUUCGAUACGGGCAGACUAGAGGUAUGCAGGGGAGAACGGAAUUCCUGGUGUAGCGGUGAAAUGCGCAGAUAUCAGGAGGAACACCGGUGGCGAAGGCGGUUCUCUGGGCAUUACCUGACGCUGAGGAGCGAAAGUGUGGGGAGUGAACAGGAUUAGAUACCCUGGUAGUCCACACCGUAAACGUUGGGCGCUAGGUGUGGGAUCCAUUCCACGGGUUCCGUGCCGCAGCUAACGCAUUAAGCGCCCCGCCUGGGGAGUACGGCCGCAAGGCUAAAACUUAAAUGAAUUGACGG